rnacentral:rRNA from 1 species
GAUGAACGCUGGCGGCGUGCCUAAUACAUGCAAGUCGAGCGAACAGACGAGGAGCUUACUCCUCUGACGUUAGCGGCGGACGGGUGGGUAACACGUGGAUAACCUACCUAUAAGACUGGGAUAACUUCGGGAAACCGGAGCUAAUACCGGAUAACAUGUUGAACCGCAUGGUUCAACAGUGAAAGACGGUCUUGCUGUCACUUAUAGAUGGAUCCGCGUCGCAUUAGCUAGUUGGUAAGGUAACGGCUUACCAAGGCAACGAUGCGUAGCCGACCUGAGAGGGUGAUCGGCCACACUGGCACUGAGACACGGUACAGACUCCUACGGGAGGCAGCAGUAGGGUAUCUUCCGCAAUGGGCGAAAGCCUGACGGAGCAACGCCGCGUGAGUGAAGAAGGUCUUCGGAUCGGAACACUCUGUUAUUAGGGAAGAACAAAUGUGUAAGUAACUAGGCACGUCUUGACGGUACCUAAACAGAGAGCCACGGCUAACUGCG